rnacentral:tRNA from 1 species
CGGGGCGUGGCGCAGCCUGGUUAGCGCGCUGGUCUGGGGGACCAGAGGUCCCGAGUUCAAAUCUCGGCGCCCCGA